GGAUAACUCAAUUUGUAAAAAAGUUUUAGAGCUAGAAAUAGCAAGUUAAAAUAAGGCUAGUCCGUUAUCAACUUGAAAAAGUGGCACCGAGUCGGUGCUU
rnacentral:sRNA from 1 species